rnacentral:rRNA from 1 species
UACGAAGGGAGCUAGCGUUGUUCGGAAUCACUGGGCGUAAAGCGCACGUAGGCGGAUUUGUCAGUCAGGGGUGAAAUCCCCGAGCUCAACUCGGGAACUGCGUCCGAUACUGGCGGGCUUGAAUCCGGGAGAGGGAUGUGGAAUUCCAGGUGUAGCGGUGAAAUGCGUAGAUAUCUGGAGGAACACCGGUGGCGAAGGCGGCAUCCUGGACCGGUAUUGACGCUGAGGCGCGAAAGCCAGGGGAGCAAAGCGGG